rnacentral:misc_RNA from 1 species
GAUGAAGAACGUAGCGAAAUGCGAAAAGUAAUGUGAAUUGCAGAAUUCAGUGAACCAUCGAAUCUUUGAACGCACAUUGCGCCCGCUGGAACUCCGGCGGGCACGCCUGUCCGAGCGUCAUUUCAACCCUCAGGCCCCCCUUCGCGGGCGGGCCUGGUGUUGGGGCCCGGCCGCUACCCUGCGGCCGUCCCCUAAAUUCAGUGGCGGCCUCGCCGUGAUCCCUUGCGUAGUAAUGCACCUCGCACCGGAGAGCGCCGUGGCCACGCCGUAAAACCCCCAAUUUUCAAUGGUUGACCUCGGAUCAGGUGGGAAUACCCGCUGAACUUAAGCAUAUCAAUAAGCGAAGGA